rnacentral:misc_RNA from 1 species
UUUCCGUAGGUGAACCUGCGGAAGGAUCAUUAUCGAGUUAGGGUCCUCGAGGCCCGAUCUCCAACCCUGUGUUUACCUAACCACGUUGCUUUGGCGGGCCCGUCUCACGACCGCCGGGGGGUGAAUCACCCCCUGGCCCGCGCCCGCCGAUGGCCCCCAAUUCAAACUCUGUAUAACGGUGUUGUCUGAGUACCUAAAACAGAAUAAAACAAAACUUUCAACAACGGAUCUCUUGGUUCUGGCAUCGAUGAAGAACGCAGC